rnacentral:tRNA from 1 species
GAGGGUGCAGCUCAGUGGUAGAGUGCCUUCCUAGCAUGCACGAGGUCCUGGGUUCAAUUCCCAGUACCUCUG